UUUAAUGAGAGUUUGAUCCUGGCUCAGGACGAACGCUGGCGGCGUGCCUAAUACAUGCAAGUAGAACGCUGAGGUUUGGUGUUUACACUAGACUGAUGAGUUGCGAACGGGUGAGUAACGCGUAGGUAACCUGCCUCAUAGCGGGGGAUAACUAUUGGAAACGAUAGCUAAUACCGCAUAAGAGUGAUUAACACAUGUUAGUUAUUUAAAAGGAGCAAUUGCUU
rnacentral:rRNA from 1 species